UGCAAGAUGUCUCCCUGGAUUGUUUCC
rnacentral:piRNA from 1 species